rnacentral:rRNA from 1 species
AUUGAACGCUGGCGGAAUGCUUUACACAUGCAAGUCGAACGGCAGCACGGACUUCGGUCUGGUGGCGAGUGGCGAACGGGUGAGUAAUACAUCGGAACGUGCCCAGUCGUGGGGGAUAACGUAGCGAAAGCUACGCUAAUACCGCAUACGAUCUAAGGAUGAAAGCGGGGGGUCGCAAGACCUCGCGCGAUUGGAGCGGCCGAUGGCAGAUUAGGUAGUUGGUAGGGUAAAGGCCUACCAAGCCGACGAUCGGUAGCUGGUCUGAGAGGACGACGAGCCACACUGGGACUGAGACACGGCCCAGACUCCUACGGGAGGCAGCAGUGGGGAAUUUGGGACAAUGGACGCAAGUCUGAUCCAGCCAUUCCGGUUGCAGGAUGAAGGCCCUGGGGUUGUAACCUGUUUUUGUACAGAAAGAAAAGGCUCUGGUUAAUACCUGGAGCUCAUGACGGUACUGUAAGAAUAAGCACCGGCUAACUACGUGCCAGCCGCCGCCGUAA